GCAUUAACAGUACAUAUUUAUGACCUACAGAAAAACAGGUGUGCAAGAGAAAAGGAAUGGCACAGAGCUUCACAGACAGUAAUAGGCCUGUUAUCUUCCCGGGCUUCAUUUUUCUCAUGUAUGAAAUGAGAAGGUUGGACUAGAUAAUUGAUGUGUUUUGUUAUUUAGCAACCAUUAUUUAGAACCUACCAUAUGCCUUCAUAUUUUGAGAGUAGAUAUUAUAGAGAUAGAAGAGACUAUGAUCCCUACUUCAAGUAUUGCAACAUCUGGUGGGGGAGACAGACAUAAACCAACAACAGUAAUUCAAUGUGAUGAUCUCUAAUGACUUUCCAGUUAUGAAUCAAAAUGAAUUUUUUCUUUUUCCUUAUUAAUACAUGUGUAGCACACACACACACACACACACACACACCCUUUCAUACAUGAGCCAAUUGAUUGCAGAGAAGUACAAGCAGAGACAGAUGCCAAAAGGAUAAUUGUCAAUUAAAGAAGUGAUUUUUUUCACAAGAAGAAUGAUGAUAUUUUCUCAUUGGAUUUUAUUCACAGUUACUUUGUCCAUAUGGAGAGAAGCUAACUGGGAGAGGUUUAUAAAAGCUAAUAUUGAGUAAAUGGUCAUGCAAAAACUGUUUCCACUUAGUUUCAUAAUUACUGGGCCAUUUCUGAAGCCAAUUGGCUUCUCAUGUAGAGCUCUGCUCUUUAACGUCUCUGAUUGUCAUGGUAACCAGGGAUGACUGCCCUGGAUGAUUGUUUUAAUGGUGUAUAGGAAGGGAAUUAGAGAACAAUAGCAUAGGAGAAUACCAAGUCCAGGGAUUCAGACUCAAAAGCUCUAAGUCAAGUUCUGCCUCUACUAAUUACCUAUUCAAUAUAUUUCUGAUCUAAAAAAAUGUCCCUAGGCAAUUCACUUCAUCUUCCUGUGCAAGUUUUUUUUUUUUCCGUUAAAAUAUAAUGACUUUUGUCUACCUCACGGGAAGGUGGGAAAACUUAAAGUUCUUCUUGUCUUUAAAGAACUACACAGGGACCAGGUGCAGUGGUUCACGCCUGUAAUCCCAGCACUUUGGGAGGCCAAGGCGGGUGGAUCACGAGGUCAGGAGUCCAAGACCGGCCUGGCCAAGAUGGUGAAAACCCGUCUCUACUAAAAAUACAAAAAUUAGCCAGGCGUGGUUGUGGGCGCCUGUAAUCCCAGUUAGUCGGGAGGCUGAGACAGAGAAUUGCUUGAAUCCAGGAGACAGAGUUUGCAGUUUGAACCCAGGAGGCGGAGGUUGCAGUGAGCCGAGAUCGUGCCACUGCACUCCAGCCUUGGUGACAGAGUGAGACUCCAUCUUUAAAAAAAAAAAAACACUACACACAUAUUUGAUGGAGGUGUAUAUUUUGGGGAGUAAAAUGAGAAAGAGUAGUCAAUGUUGGGAAUGGGAAAUUUCAAUAUAUAACAUAGUCAUAUCAGCUCAGAGCACAGGGGCAUUGGAAAAAACCUGGCCCCAUCUUCUCACUUUACAGAUGAAGAAACCAAGGUUCACUAGAAAAAAUACU
rnacentral:lncRNA from 1 species